rnacentral:lncRNA from 1 species
AUGCUGAGUUGUGUAUUCUGCACAGAUGAACUCAGCACUGAUAUUGUAUGGGCACUUGUUUUUCAGGUCUCACAGAUUUAUCUGGCUUCUCCUGCCCUUCUGGAUUUUGGUGCACUGGCUCAGGUCCACCAGUUCCAUGCCCUGCUGGAACCAUGCGGGCACAGCCUGGUGCUGCUGCCCCUAGCGAUUGUGAGCCAUGCCCGCCUGGAUACUUCUGCCCUGACCCAAGGUCCACAGGCCAUUCUAAAACAGCAGGAAUCCCCUGUAGGCCAUCAUACCAGUGUCCCAAAGGGUCAGUGGAAGAGAUGCUGUGUACGGCUGGUUACUAUUGCGGGCCGCAGACUGGAGAACCAAAGAAGUGUCCAGCUGGCUAUUUCUGUCCUGAGGGGUCGUACACCUACAAUACACCGCAACAAGUGUAUUGAGCCUGUUUCCUACCUGUCCACACUGUUUUUAACUCAACUUUUAUAGAUGGAGCAUUUUGUAGUUUCAUCUUUCAUCAUUUUUUGUGUCAUUCUAGUUGCUUAUUCCCAUAUUUCUGCUCGGUGGGCAGCUCUACUCCACUGCCCUGUAGUGGUGGAUUCCUGCCACUCAACACCAGUGGCCUGCGGGACUCAGAGCUGAGUGGUUGUGCUCCCUGCCUGGCAGGAACCUACCGUCCAGCAGAAGUUUCGGAACUGAACUGCUUACCCUGUCCGCCAGGGUACCACUGUCCAGCAGGUACAGAGCACUACAGCAGAAACCUGUGUCCCCUGGGCUAUGUCUGCCCCAAAGGAUCAGCCAGGCCAGUACCCUGCCCGCCUGGUUACUAUGGCAACCACACAGGUGCAAAGUUGCUGGAGGACUGUCACCAAUGCCCAGCUGGGACCUUCAACAACCUGCCAGCCCAGAGCGCCUGCUUCCCCUGUGGGAGUUCUGCCAGCUCUGAAACUGGAUCGUCUUCCUGCUCUUGCAUUGGGAAGAACAGAGCUUUCCAGCAGUCUGAUGGAUCAUGUGUGUGCAAAGCAGGUUUUGUUUUCUACAACCAAAUGGACUUCAAGAGCACCAGCAUGGACAGUGACCUGGACUGUCAGCCUGAGGUCAGAAUUUGGCACUUCCCAUAGUGCUUGUUAAUUUGUUACGGUUCUAAUGCUUAUUGUUAUGCUCAGGUGAAAAACCGUUGCAACUCUGGAGAGGUGCGACUGGCCUCCACGCAGGACUGUGUUAACCCAGAGAAGUACUCCUGUAAUGUCACAUGUGGUGCUCUGGGUGGCAAACUGGAUGUGGGCUUUGGCAUGUGAGUGUACUCUUUAAAACAAACGGAAGGCAACAAUUCUG